GUGAGCUCCAUGCCUGUGUCCCAGGCUCUAUUACUACUUGAAUCAGGAAGCUCCUAUGUGAAUCUGUAUUGAUUUAAAUCCCAAGGAUACGGCCCAACGCUUCCUUGGGCAGCAGAGAUGGGGGCCUUUGGAUCUGCUCUCCCUGACUAUGACCCGGUAGAGAAACAGCAUCGCCUAGUUAAUGACCCAGGACUAAAUGUUGAUUUCCCUAGAGCCGUCCUUUGGCACAGGCUCCCACUAGUGGAUCAGAAUGAAAAUGUGAUUCCUCACAUAAUGUUGAAAAAUCUUUGUGUGUUAUCAUAA
rnacentral:lncRNA from 1 species